AUUGAACGCUGGCGGCAGGCCUAACACAUGCAAGUCGAACGGUAACAGGAAGAAGCUUGCUUCUUUGCUGACGAGUGGCGGACGGGUGAGUAAUGUCUGGGAAACUGCCUGAUGGAGGAGGAUAACUACUGGAAACGGUAGCUAAUACCGCAUAACGUCGCAAGACCAAAGAGGGGGACCUUCGGGCCUCUUGCCAUCGGAUGUGCCCAGAUGGGAUUAGCUAGUAGGUGGGGUAACGGCUCACCUAGGCGACGAUCCCUAGCUGGUCUGAGAGGAUGACCAGCCACACUGGAACUGAGACACGGUCCAGACUCCUACGGGAGGCAGCAGUGGGGAAUAUUGCACAAAGGGCGCAAGCCUGAUGCAGCCAUGCCGCGUGUAUGAAGAAGGCCUUCGGGUUGUAAAGUACUUUCAGCGGGGAGGAAGGGAGUAAAGUUAAUACCUUUGCUCAUUGACGUUACCCGCAGAAGAAGCACCGGCUAACUCCGUG
rnacentral:rRNA from 1 species